rnacentral:rRNA from 1 species
GAUGAACGCUGGCGGCGUGCUUAAUACAUGCAAGUCGAACGGAAAGGCCCUGCUUUUGUUUGUUUCUCGUGUGCCGAACGGGGGAGUAACACGUGUGUAUCCUGUCCUUGUCUGUCGGAUAUCUCUAGGAAACUCGGGCUAUUAUCGCAUAUAAUCUCCUGAUGCAUGUUGUUGAUUGGUGAGUGUCGGCGGUUGGGGAUGGACUCGCGGCUUAUCAGCUUGUUUGUGUGGUAGUGGCUUACCAAGGCUUUGACGGGUAGCCGGCCUGAGAGGGUGACCGGCCACAUUGGGACUGAGAUACGGCCCAGACUCCUACGGGAGGCAGCAGUGGGGAAUAUUGCACAAUGGGCGGAAGCCUGAUGCAGAAACGCCGCGUGCGGGAUGACGGCCUUCGGGGUGUAAACAGCUUUCGCAUGUGACGAAGCGUGAGUGACGGUAAUGGGUAAAGAAGCACCGGCUAACUACGUG